UACAGAGGCCAAGAGCGUUGUUCGGAUUUACUGGGCGUAAAGGGUGCGUAGGCGGCUUGCUAAGUCGGAUGUGAAAUCUCCGGGCUCAACUCGGAAAGUGCGUCCGAAACUGGCAGGCUGGAGUCCGGGAGGGGGAAUCGGAAUACAGGGUGUAGCGGUGAAAUGCGUUGAUAUCCUGUAGAACACCGGAGACGAAGGCGGAUUCCUUGAACGGUACUGACGCUGAGGCGCGAAAGUCGGGGUAUCGAAC
rnacentral:rRNA from 1 species